GCAAACUUGGUCAUUUAGAGGAAGUAAAAGUCGUAACAAGGUUUCCGUAGGUGAACCUGCGGAAGGAUCAUUAUCGAGAACGCGGCGGGUCCCCCGGGGCCCGCUCCGCCCUCACCCUUGCCCCAAAAACUCUGUUGCUUUGGCGGGCUCGCCCGCCGGAGGUCCAACCAAACUCGUCUUAUCGAAACUUGCGGUCUGAAGUAAAAAAAAUCAAUAAGCCUAAAACUUUCAACAACGGAUCUCUUGGUUCUGGCAUCGAUGAAGAACGCAGC
rnacentral:misc_RNA from 1 species